AACCAAUCUUCGCAACAACAACAACAACAACAACAACAACAACAAAAAAAGGAAGUUAGCAAGAUUUAGUAAACAAACACUUCAUAUGAAAAAUAUCUGUCUAUGCCACAAGUCUGAUCGUUACCGAUAGUAGUUGAGUUGCGGAGUCUUUUGUCGUAUCUCCAUAAGCUUUGGUUUGUGAUGAAGCCAAAACAGGAAUUGUCUCCGAUGUUCAUGUUCUCCAAAAAUGUUGAUAGUGUAUACUCUACAGGCUCCGAAGUGUAUGUCUGAUCGAUCACCACGUCCACCGUCUGAGAGAAUCCAUAAUCUGUUACUCUCCCUGGUUUAUAUUUCUUUGAGAAUUUUAUUCAGAUCUUUGGUUUUUCGAAGUUUUAGAAGAAUCAUGAUGAUAAAUGCUAUUUUUGUGAUACUUAUGUGAAACACUAAGUUACCAAUUACUUUCAUAAUCAUUUUUAUCUAAUUUUUUUUUUAAACAGAUCUCACAAGUAUUCUCAGCAAAGAUUUAUGCCUUGUGCAAGCACUUUUUCUGUUAUAAUUUACGUGAAGUUCGAUCCAACUGUGACAAUGAAGAUGGAGAAUCGAGUACAGCAUGUAGAGAUUGCCAAAGAAACUUACGCAAAGGAUGGCAUGAAAGUUGUCCAUAUCCUCUGGAUCUGAAAUAUUGUAGCUAUUGUUGGUGAUGGUCUCAUCAAUAUUCUCCCCUCCCGCAUCCGUCACAUACUGUUCAAGGACACAAUAUUGUCAAACAUAGGAGUCGUCUCAUCGGAUGGUACAAAUGCUGCAAAAUUGCAGGCUUGUUCUGCAUCUACUUCGCUUAUGAAAUGUGCUGUGAAUUCUGAUAGUUGACGUAUGUCUGUCUUGUUUACAAGCUGGAUACUACCGUUUGCGUAUGAUUGCAGCACACACUGGGAGAUGGGAAGUUUAUGUGAAGCUGUAUAAACCAUUCCACUGCAUAUUAAGAGAUACUGUACCAUGUUUACUUACACAACAGCAACUCUCACCUCAAAGAACGACACUGCAAAAGGCAAAAAGUAAGCAGGAAAUUUACUUCAUCAGUUCGGUAAGUGAAGAACAUCAAAUUGAUUUCGUAAAUGCAAGUGCCAACAUCUAUAGUUUAUGUACUUCCAAUUUUCUUUUUAUUAUAUUAUAUGAUUUUAUUCAUUGACAAGGCUACGCGGAUUUUGAAUCUACUAGUGAUUUGGAAGUAUCUAGCAGUUUAUCACUGAAGCAAACAAUUGUCUUUUUAAAGAUGCUUAUCUGAAUGUUUUGAUGUACAGAAGAGAGAAAGAAGAUAAAAAACAAACUUAUCAU